rnacentral:rRNA from 1 species
AUUGAACGCUGGCGGCAGGCCUAACACAUGCAAGUCGAACGAGUGGCGGACGGGUGAGCAAUUGAUGGGAAACUGCCUGAUGGAGGGGGAAAACUACUGGAAACGGUAGCUAAUACCGCAUACCAUCCGAUGGGCCCAGAUGGGAUUAGCUUGUUGGUGGGGUAACGGCUCACCAAGGCGACGAUCCCUAGCUGGUCUGAGAUGAUGACCAGCCACACUGGAACUGAGACACGGCCCAGACUCCUACGGGAGGCAGCAGGGGGAAAUAUUGCACAAUGGGCGCAAGCCUGAUGAAGCCAUGCCGCGUGUAUGAAGAAGGCCUUCGGGUUGUAAAGUACUUUCGUCGGGGAGGCGUUACCCGCAGAAGAAGCACCGGCUAACUCCGUGCCAGCAGCCGCGGUAAUAC